rnacentral:lncRNA from 1 species
UCUAUUCGUCAGUCAAAAUGUUAAUCUUGAAGGAGCAAAGGUUUGUUCAUGAGCUGUCAUGCUCGCUAGGCGAAGCCCACGUGUUAUGCAAAAAAAAAAAAUUAAAUUAAAUAAAUAAAUAAAAUAAAUAAAAGAAAAAAUCUCAUACUUGGACCUCUCUCAUUUGAGCCCACAAAGCCAUGAAAAUCAGGUUAUAAAAGAGGGAGAACAGACAUAAAAAGGAAGAGAAGUGAAACACUCUGAGGUUUCCUUGGAACAAAACCCUGGACAAAACCUGAAGAGAAACCUAGACAGAGAGACUGAGAAUUAAUCUGCAGCAACCUCCAGGCAACUCUGAAAGGUUCAUUCUGACUCACACACUA